rnacentral:lncRNA from 1 species
AUAACUUCUUCAUCCCAACUCCUAUGAGAUUUAUUCAACUUCCUGGUGAUUCUCCACCACUUUAUGUAUCCAAAUCAAGCUUCUCACAAAGUGAUUCAUCCUGGUUUGAUUGGAACGACGAUGAAGCUGUGCUAUUCCCAAACUGGGAAACUGGAAUCACCUGAUUUGAAAGUGGGAUAACUUCUUCAUCCCAACUCCUAUGAGAUUUAUUUAACUUCCUGGUGAUUCUCCACCACUUUAUGUAUCCAAAUCAAGCUUCUCACAAAGUGAUUCAUCCUGGUUUGAUUGGAACGACGAAGAAGCUGUCCUAUUCCCAAACUGGGAAACUGGAAUCACCUGAUUUGAAAUUGGGAUAACUUCUUCUUUCCAACUCCUAUGAGAUUUAUUCAACUUCCUGGUGGUUCUCCACCACUUAUUGUAUCCAAAUCAAGCUUCUCACAAAGUGAUUCAUCCUGGUUUGAUUGGAACGACGAUGAAGCUGUGCUAUUCCCAAACUGGGAAACUGGAAUCACCUGAUUUGAAAGUGGGAUAACUUCUUCAUCCCAACUCCUAUGAGAUUUAUUUAACUUCCUGGUGAUUCUCCACCACUUUAUGUAUCCAAAUCAAGCUUCUCACAAAGUGAUUCAUCCUGGUUUGAUUGGAACGACGAUGAAGCUGUGCUAUUCCCAAACUGGGAAACUGGAAUCACCUGAUUUGAAAGUGGGAUAACUUCUUCUUUCCAACUCCUAUGAGAUUUAUUCAACUUCCUUGUGAUUCUCCACCACUUAAUGUAUCCAAAUCAAGCAUCUUACAAAGUGAUUCAUCCUGGUUUGAUUGGAACGACGAAGAAGCUGUCCUAUUCCCAAACUGGGAAACUGGAAUCACCUGAUUUGAAAGUGGGAUAACUUCUUCUUUCCAACUCCUAUGAGAUUUAUUCAACUUCCUUGUGAUUCUCCACCACUUAAUGUAUCCAAAUCAAGCUUCCCACAAAGUGAUUCAUCCUGGUUUGAUUGGAACGACGAAGAAGCUUUCCUAUUCCCAAACUGGAAAACUGGAAUCACCUGAUUUGAAAGUGGAAUAACUUCUUCUUUCCAACUCCUAUGAGAUUUAUUCAACUUCCUGGGGAUUCUCUAUCACUUUUAGAGUAAUGAAUAGUAAUCUGAGUGUUUAGUAUAGAUUUAAGAGAGAUUAGAGAAGAAAUGAGUGUAGAGAGUAAGGUUUAGAGAACAAGACUAAGAGUAAGCCAUGGAGGCAAAGAUAAGCUGAAGUGUCUAAGUUUUAUUAAUGACCAGAUGUUACAAUACAUAGAGAGGCAUCUCGAGGUUAAGGGUUUCAGAAAGCACACUAUUACAUGGGAUAAGAUUCUGCUUUAAUUCAAACUGUCCAAUUAAGCUCUUCCUUGUGUGUAAAGCACCUUUACCUUUACACAGCCACUGACAGCCUGUCAUAAGCUCUUCCCUUAUCCUCUCCACACGGUAACAUCAGUAAAGCCUCAGUAAGACUUCUCCUUUACCUCUUAAGUUAACCGAGUGUAGUAACUUCCCUUAAGUAGUGAUCUUGGUCGAGCUCCUCUUGUACGGCCUGUACGGCCAUGGUACGGCCUGUACGGCCUAGCCUCUCCCAAACUCAUUCCUCCAACCCAUUACUCUCCUAAGCCUCACUCUCUUAUUAGCAAUCCAUCUCAUCAUCUAAUGCCUUCUUCUCAACACUCCCCCUCAAGCUUAGCUUUGUGAAAGUCUAAGCUUGG